GUGAGGAAUAUUGGUCAAUGGGCGGGAGCCUGAACCAGCCAAGUCGCGUGAAGGAAGAAGGAUCUAUGGUUCGUAAACUUCUUUUGCAGGGGAAUAAAGUGCAGGACGUGUCCUGUUUUGUAUGUACCCUGAGAAUAAGGAUCGGCUAACUCCGUGCCAGCAGCCGCGGUAAUACGGAGGAUCCGAGCGUUAUCCGGAUUUCUUGGGUUUAAAGGGUGCGUAGGUGGUUUGAUAAGUCAGCGGUGAAAGUUUGCAGCUUAACUGUAAAAAUGCCGUUGAAACUGUCGGACUUGAGUGUAAAUGAGGUAGGCGGAAUGCGUGGUGUAGCGGUGAAAUGCAUAGAUAUCACGCAGAACUCCGAUUGCGAAGGCAGCUUACUAAGCUACAACUGACACUGAAGCACGAAAGCGUGGGGAUCAAACAGGAUUAGAAACCCCUGUAGUCC
rnacentral:rRNA from 1 species